AGCAGCAGCCGCGGGAAUACAGAGGGUGCAAGCGUUAAUCGGAUUUACUGGGCGUAAAGGGCGCGUAGGUGGUUAUGUAAGUGAGAUGUGAAAUCCCCGGGCUCAACCUGGGAACUGCAUCUUAUACUGCGUAGCUGGAGUGCAGUAGAGGGUAGUGGAAUUUCCGGUGUAGCGGUGAAAUGCGUAGAUAUCAGAAGGAACACCUGUGGCGAAAGCGGCUCACUGGACCAUUUCUGACGCUGAUGCACGAAAGCUAGGGGAGCAAACAGGAUUAGAUACCCCAGUAGUCCCUGUCUCUUAUAC
rnacentral:rRNA from 1 species